rnacentral:tRNA from 1 species
GGUAAAAUGGUCGAGUGUUCAGGCGGCGGACCGUAGCUCCGUUUACAGAGGUUUAAAUCCUCUUUUUAUCA